rnacentral:rRNA from 1 species
UACGUAGGGUGCGAGCGUUAAUCGGAAUUACUGGGCGUAAAGCGUGCGCAGGCGGUUUUGUAAGCCAGAUGUGAAAUCCCCGGGCUUAACCUGGGAAUGGCAUUUGGGACUGCAAGGCUCGAGUGCGGCAGAGGAGACUGGAAUUCCUGGUGUAGCAGUGAAAUGCGUAGAUAUCAGGAGGAGCACCGGUGGCGAAGGCGGGUCUCUGGGCCGAUACUGACGCUGAGGAGCGAAAGCGUGGGGAGCGAACAGG